rnacentral:rRNA from 1 species
UACGGUGGGAGCAAGCGUUGUUCGGAUUUACUGGGCGUAAAGGGCGCGUAGGCGGCGCAACAAGUCACUUGUGAAAUCUCCGGGCUUAACCCGGAGCGGCCAAGUGAUACUGUCGUGCUAGAGUGCGGAAGGGGCUACUGGAAUUCUCGGUGUAGCGGUGAAAUGCGUAGAUAUCGAGAGGAACACCUGCGGCGAAGGCGGGUAGCCGGGCCGACACUGACGCUGAGGCGCGAAAGCCAGGGGAGCGAACGGG